UUAAGUGGGAAACGAUGUGGGAAGGCCCAGACAGCCAGGAUGUUGGCUUAGAAGCAGCCAUCAUUUAAAGAAAGCGUAAUAGCUCACUGGUCGAGUCGGCCUGCGCGGAAGAUGUAACGGGGCUAAACCAUGCACCGAAGCUGCGGCAGCGACACUCAGGUGUUGUUGGGUAGGGGAGCGUUCUGUAAGCCUGCGAAGGUGGCCUGUGAGGGUUGCUGGAGGUAUCAGAAGUGCGAAUGCUGACAUAAGUAACGAUAAAGCGGGUGAAAAGCCCGCUCGCCGGAAGACCAAGGGUUCCUGUCCAACGUUAAUCGGGGCAGGGUGAGUCGACCCCUAAGGCGAGGCCGAAAGGCGUAGUCGAUGGGAAACGGGUUAAUAUUCCCGUACUUGGUGUUACUGCGAAGGGGGGACGGAGAAGGCUAUGUUGGCCGGGCGACGGUUGUCCCGGUUUAAGCGUGUAGGUGUGUGUUCCAGGUAAAUCCGGUUCACUUUAACACUGAGGCGUGAUGACGAGGCACUACGGUGCUGAAGCAACAAAUGCCCUGCUUCCAGGAAAAGCCUCUAAGCAUCAGGUAACAUCAAAUCGUACCCCAAACCGACACAGGUGGUCAGGUAGAGAAUACCAAGGCGCUUGAGAGAACUCGGGUGAAGGAACUAGGCAAAAUGGUGCCGUAACUUCGGGAGAAGGCACGCUGACACGUAGGUGAAGUGAUUUACUCAUGGAGCUGAAGUCAGUCGAAGAUACCAGCUGGCUGCAACUGUUUAUUAAAAACACAGCACUGUGCAAACACGAAAGUGGACGUAUACGGUGUGACGCCUGCCCGGUGCCGGAAGGUUAAUUGAUGGGGUCAGCGCAAGCGAAGCUCCUGAUCGAAGCCCCGGUAAACGGCGGCCGUAACUAUAACGGUCCUAAGGUAGCGAAAUUCCUUGUCGGGUAAGUUCCGACCUGCACGAAUGGCGUAAUGAUGGCCAGGCUGUCUCCACCCGAGACUCAGUGAAAUUGAACUCGCUGUGAAGAUGCAGUGUACCCGCGGCAAGACGGAAAGACCCCGUGAACCUUUACUAUAGCUUGACACUGAACAUUGAGCCUUGAUGUGUAGGAUAGGUGGGAGGCUUUGAAGUGUGGACGCCAGUCUGCAUGGAGCCGGCCUUGAAAUACCACCCUUUAAUGUUUGAUGUUCUAACGUGGACCCGUGAUCCGGGUUGCGGACAGUGUCUGGUGGGUAGUUUGACUGGGGCGGUCUCCUCCUAAAGAGUAACGGAGGAGCACGAAGGUUGGCUAAUCCUGGUCGGACAUCAGGAGGUUAGUGCAAUGGCAUAAGCCAGCUUGACUGCGAGCGUGACGGCGCGAGCAGGUGCGAAAGCAGGUCAUAGUGAUCCGGUGGUUCUGAAUGGAAGGGCCAUCGCUCAACGGAUAAAAGGUACUCCGGGGAUAACAGGCUGAUACCGCCCAAGAGUUCAUAUCGACGGCGGUGUUUGGCACCUCGAUGUCGGCUCAUCACAUCCUGGGGCUGAAGUAGGUCCCAAGGGUAUGGCUGUUCGCCAUUUAAAGUGGUACGCGAGCUGGGUUUAGAACGUCGUGAGACAGUUCGGUCCCUAUCUGCCGUGGGCGCUGGAGAACUGAGGGGGGCUGCUCCUAGUACGAGAGGACCGGAGUGGACGCAUCACUGGUGUUCGGGUUGUCAUGCCAAUGGCACUGCCCGGUAGCUAAAUGCGGAAGAGAUAAGUGCUGAAAGCAUCUAAGCACGAAACUUGCCCCGAGAUGAGUUCUCCCUGAGACUUUAGGUCUCCUGAAGGAACGUUGAAGACGACGACGUUGAUAGGCCGGGUGUGUAAGCGCAGCGAUGCGUUGAGCUAACCGGUACUAAUGAACCGUGAGGCUUAACCUUACA
rnacentral:rRNA from 1 species